rnacentral:rRNA from 1 species
UGGGGAAUAUUGGACAAUGGGCGAAAGCCUGAUCCAGCCAUGCCGCGUGUGUGAAGAAGGUCUUCGGAUUGUAAAGCACUUUAAGUUGGGAGGAAGGGCAGUAACCUAAUACGUUGCUGUCUUGACGUUACCGACAGAAUAAGCACCGGCUAACUCUGUGCCAGCAGCCGCGGUAAUACAGAGGGUGCAAGCGUUAAUCGGAAUUACUGGGCGUAAAGCGCGCGUAGGUGGUUUGUUAAGUUGGAUGUGAAAUCCCCGGGCUCAACCUGGGAACUGCAUUCAAAACUGACUGACUAGAGUAUGGUAGAGGGUGGUGGAAUUUCCUGUGUAGCGGUGAAAUGCGUAGAUAUAGGAAGGAACACCAGUGGCGAAGGCGACCACCUGGACUGAUACUGACACUGAGGUGCGAAAGCGUGGGGAGCAAACAGGAUUAGAUACCCGCGUAGUCCCUGAGCGGGCUGGCAAGGCGCAU